rnacentral:rRNA from 1 species
AACGAACGCUGGCGGCAUGCCUAACACAUGCAAGUCGAACGAAGCCUUCGGGCUUAGUGGCGCACGGGUGCGUAACGCGUGGGAAUCUGCCCCUUGCUUCGGAAUAACAGUUAGAAAUGACUGCUAAUACCGGAUGAAGUCUUCGGACCAAAGAUUUAUCGGCAAGGGAUGAGCCCGCGUAGGAUUAGGUAGUUGGUGGGGUAAAGGCCUACCAAGCCGACGAUCCUUAGCUGGUCUGAGAGGAUGAUCAGCCACACUGGGACUGAGACACGGCCCAGACUCCUACGGGAGGCAGCAGUGGGGAAUAAUGGACAAUGGACGCAAGUCUGAUCCAGCAAUGCCGCGUGAGUGAUGAAGGCCUUAGGGUUGUAAAGCUCUUUUACCAGGGAUGAUAAUGACAGUACCUGGAGAAUAAGCUCCGGCUAACUCCGUG